rnacentral:tmRNA from 1 species
GGGGUCGACUGGUUUUGACAGCGAGAUUAAUUAAAUGGUAAGCACGUCGUGUAAUGGCAUUGAAACACGUAAAAGGCUAGACCAAAUUUUAAACGGCGAGAAUAACUACGCUUUAGCUGCAUAAUCUGAAUUAUAGUAAGAUUAAGCCUCGGCUCACUAGGUGGGCAAGCUUUAUGUCUCCGGAAAGCCUUGGUUAAUGGCGUUCUAUUUAGAGGCAUCGUAAAUAUUAACUAAGAUUAGGUAGUGCUUUAAUGCCUUUUCGAGAUUUAGAAGAUAAGUUGUAAGUAGAAUGUUUUUAAUCGGCUUACAAUCGAAAACUAAGAAAAAACUAAACGUGUAGAAAGCUCUUUGGUUACUUGUUUGGACGAGAGUUCGAUUCUCUCCGACUCCACAA